rnacentral:rRNA from 1 species
UACGGAGGGUGCAAGCGUUAUCCGGAUUUACUGGGUUUAAAGGGUGUGUAGGCGGGCUAUUAAGUCAGUGGUGAAAUCUUCGGGCUCAACCCGGAAACUGCCAUUGAUACUAUUAGUCUUGAAUUUUGUUGAGGUAGGCGGAAUAAGUCAUGUAGCGGUGAAAUGCAUAGAUAUGACUUAGAACACCAAUUGCGAAGGCAGCUUGCUAAACAAAUAUUGACGCUGAGGCACGAAAGCGUGGGGAUCAAACAGG